rnacentral:rRNA from 1 species
CAAUAGCGUAUAUUAAAGUUGUUGCAGUUAAAAAGCUCGUAGUUGGAUUUGUGGCGUACGGUGGGUUCCGGGCACUUGUUGUCUGAGUAACUUGCUGUUGCCAUCCUUGGGUGGAACCUGUGUGGCAUUGGGUUGUCGUGCAGGGGAUGCCCAUCAUUUACUGUGAAAAAAUUAGAGUGUUCAAAGCAGGCUUAUGCCGUUGAAUAUAUUAGCAUGGAAUAAUGAGAUAGGACUUUUUUGCUAUUUUGUUGGUUUGCGCAAAGAGGUAAUGAUUAAUAGGGACAGUUGGGGGUAUUCGUAUUCCAUUGUCAGAGGUGAAAUUCUUGGAUUUUUGGAAGACGAACUACUGCGAAAGCAUUUACCAAGGAUGUUUUCAUUAA